UCCAAAAACAAUGGAAGUCCGAGAGAUCGAGAAGUAGAGAAAGUGAGAGAUGCACCACCAACGAAUUUUUUUUAGCAAGACUUCUCUGUUGAUCUAAUCAACAACAACAAAUUACAAGCCCUAAUAAAAUCACCAUCAAAACCACAGUUUCCGAAGAAGACGAUUCAGCUGGUCUCGCUCCCAUUAACUGAAUUCAUCGAACGAUUCUUUACCCUCUUAACUCAUUACUUCUUUCUCAAUCGUCUAAUUUCCCUAUUUCAAGGUUUCUCUAUGUUUCUCUUCGAAAGGUUGGGAUGAAAUUAACUAUCAAAAAUCAAUCAAAUUUUAGUCAAUUCAAAUUUGUAUUCAAUCAAAAUUCGCAGUUGGAAUCAUCCGAGAGCUGAUCAAGAUCUGAAAAGUGGACACUGAAUGUUGCUUCUGUGUUUUUCCUAGUCUUGGCACAUGAUAAAGUGAAUUUAAAGGCUCUUUUUGGAAAGAGACAAGCUUAACGUAUGGAUUCACGUGACCAUAAAUGUUGAAAUGUUUAGCUAAUGUCUACAUAUUGCAUCCAUCUGAUUAUCUAAGUUCCAAAACUACAAUCACCAUAUCUUGGUCAUUUCAGAAUAUUUCACAAGUUGAUCUCGACAGUCUGGUGGCUUUGGGUGGUUCAAGUGCCAAAGGUGUGUUACUAGACAUGAUUAAGACUGCCUCAAGCAUGAUUGGCCAGAUAUCACCCGAAGAGCUUUAGAAGAUAACCCAACUGGCUACCUCAUUUCAAGGUGCAAAUUUUUUUUUUUCCAAGCCACCCCCGGUCUUCAAUCCUGGUUCUGCCCCUGUGGGCGUAUAUUUUUUCAGGUCUCUUUACUAUUUCAGUUUCCCUGUAGUUUCUUUCUUGUCGAACAGAGCUACGUAAAUUUGGGUUAUGAAUGCAAAUAGACUCUUGAGAGCAUGGGCUUAGGUUUGACUUUGUUGAUCUGCUUAGCUCUAACUUGACUACAACUUGGCAUCUAAAUCUGUAAUGUGAAUAUCAUCUAAGAAACAAUCAAUCAAUUGGAAAGGUAU